UUGAACGCUGGCGGCAUGCUUUACACAUGCCAGUCGAACGGCAGCGGGGUAGUGCUUGCACUACUGCCGGCGAGUGGCGAACGGGUGAGUAAUAUAUCGGAACGUACCGAGUAAUGGGGGAUAACCAAUCGAAAGAUUGGCUAAUACCGCAUACGUCCUGAGGGAGAAAGCGGGGGAUCGCAAGACCUCGCGUUAUUCGAGCGGCCGAUAACUGAUUAGCUAGUUGGUGGGGUAAAGGCCUACCAAGGCGACGAUCAGUAGCGGGUCUGAGAGGACGAUCCGCCACACUGGGACUGAGACACGGCCCAGACUCCUACGGGAGGCAGCAGUGGGGAAUUUUGGACAAUGGGGGCAACCCUGAUCCAGCCAUGCCGCGUGUAUGAAGAAGGCCUUCGGGUUGUAAAGUACUUUUGUUAGGGAAGAAAAGGGAAGUGCUAAUACCACUUUUUGCUGACGGUACCUAAAGAAUAAGCACCGGCUAACUACGUG
rnacentral:rRNA from 1 species